rnacentral:rRNA from 1 species
GAUGAACGCUGGCGGCGUGCCUAAUACAUGCAAGUCGAGCGAACGGACGAGAAGCUUGCUUCUCUGAUGUUAGCGGCGGACGGGUGUGUAACACGUGGAUAACCUACCUAUAAGACUGGGAUAACUUCGGGAAACCGUAGCUAAUACCGGAUAAUAUUUUGAACCGCAUGGUUCAAAAGUGAAGGACGGUCUUGCUGUCACUUAUAGAUGGAUCCGCGCUGCAUUAGCUAGUUGGUAAGGUAACGGCUUACCAAGGCAACGAUGCAUAGCCGACCUGAGAGGGUGAUCGGCCACACUGGAACUGAGACACGGUCCAGACUCCUACGGGAGGCAGCAGUAGGGAAUCUUCCGCAAUGGGCGAAAGCCUGACGGAGCAACGCCGCGUGAGUGAUGAAGGUCUUCGGAUCGUAAAACUCUGUUAUUAGGGAAGAACAUAUGUGUAAGUAACUGUGCACAUCUUGACGGUACCUAAUCAGAAAGCCACGGCUAACUACGUG